rnacentral:rRNA from 1 species
GAUGAACGCUGGCGGCGUGCCUAACACAUGCAAGUCGAGCGAUUCUCUUCGGAGAAGAGCGGCGGACGGGUGAGUAACGCGUGGGUAACCUGCCCUGUACACACGGAUAACAUACCGAAAGGUAUGCUAAUACGAGAUAAUAUGCUUUUAUCGCAUGGUAGAAGUAUCAAAGCUCCGGCGGUACAGGAUGGACCCGCGUCUGAUUAGCUAGUUGGUAAGGUAACGGCUUACCAAGGCGACGCUCAGUAGCCGACCUGAGAGGGUGAUCGGCCACAUUGGAACUGAGACACGGUCCAAACUCCUACGGGAGGCAGCAGUGGGGAAUAUUGCACAAUGGGCGAAAGCUUGAUGCAGCAACGCCGCGUGAGCGAUGAAGGCCUUCGGGUCGUAAAGCUCUGUCCUCAAGGGAGAUAAUGACGGUACUUGAGGAGGAAGCCCCGGCUAACUACGUGCCAGCCGCCGCGGUAA